rnacentral:rRNA from 1 species
UACGAAGGGGGCUAGCGUUGUUCGGAAUUACUGGGCGUAAAGCGCACGUAGGCGGACUAUUAAGUCAGGGGUGAAAUCCCGGGGCUCAACCCCGGAACUGCCUUUGAUACUGGUAGUCUCGAGUCCGGAAGAGGUGAGUGGAAUUCCGAGUGUAGAGGUGAAAUUCGUAGAUAUUCGGGAGGAACACCAGUGGCGAAGGCGCUCACUGGUCCGGUACUGACGCUGAGGUGCGAA